CCUACGGGGGGCAGCAGUGGGGAAUAUUGGGCAAUGGACGCAAGUCUGACCCAGCAACGCCGCGUGAAGGAAGAAGGCUUUCGGGUUGUAAACUUCUUUUAAGGGGGAAGAGCAGAAGACGGUACCCCUUGAAUAAGCCACGGCUAACUACGUGCCAGCAGCCGCGGUAAUACAUAGGUGGCAAGCGUUGUCCGGAUUUACUGGGUGUAAAGGGCGUGCAGCCGGAGAGGCAAGUCAGAUGUGAAAUCCGCGGGCUCAACUCGCGAACUGCAUUUGAAACUGCUUCCCUUGAGUAUCGGAGAGGUAAUCGGAAUUCCUAGUGUAGCGGUGAAAUGCGUAGAUAUUAGGAAGAACACCAGUGGCGAAGGCGGAUUACUGGACGACAACUGACGGUGAGGCGCGAAAGCGUGGGGAGCAAACAGGAUUAGAGACCCUUGUAGUC
rnacentral:rRNA from 1 species